UGCCAGCCGCCGCUGGCAGCGCCGCCUGAACUGAGGCGAACUCCGCCGCCAAGUGAGUGAGGAGGAGGAGGAGAAGGAGGAGGAGGAAGAGGAGGAGCGCAGUCAGAGCGCGGCGGCAGCGGCAGCGGCAGAGGCGCCGCGGCGGGGACCAGCCCAGAGAGACCCCCCGAGCCCGCGGCACAGGCGGCGGCGGCGCUGAGCGGGCGCGACCAGCCGAGCGAGCGGCGGCCCCGGCUCCUCCUCGUCCGGCGCCAGCGGCCCGCGCCCUGCGCCCGCACUCGGCCAGCCGAGACCCGCCUCCCGCCCGCCCGCCGGCCUCGUGAGGGACGCGCCGAGCCGGGCGGUCGAGAGCGGCGGCGGCUGGGAGCGCGUCGGGCCCGGGCGGAAAGUGCCUGCGGGGGGCGGGCGAGCGCGCGGUGCCGGCCGCCCCGGGGCUCGGCGCGGGAGCCAGAGCGGGAGCCGGCGCGGAGCGGGACGCCGGGUCCCGAGCGGCCCGCGGCCGGGGCUCGCCCCCGCCCCUCCCUCCUCUCCGGCGGCGGCGGCGGCGGCGGCGGCGGCGGGCGGAGUGAGCUGCGGAGCCUGGAAUAUGGUCGGGGAAAUGGAAACGAAGGAGAAGCCGAAGCCCACCCCAGAUUACCUGAUGCAGCUGAUGAACGACAAGAAGCUCAUGAGCAGCCUGCCCAACUUCUGCGGGAUCUUCAACCACCUAGAGCGGCUGCUGGACGAAGAAAUUAGCAGAGUACGGAAAGACAUGUACAAUGACACAUUAAAUGGCAGUACAGAGAAAAGGAGUGCAGAAUUGCCUGAUGCUGUGGGACCUAUUGUUCAGUUACAAGAGAAACUUUAUGUGCCUGUAAAAGAAUACCCAGAUUUUAAUUUUGUUGGGAGAAUCCUUGGACCUAGAGGACUUACAGCCAAACAACUUGAAGCAGAAACCGGAUGUAAAAUCAUGGUCCGAGGCAAAGGCUCAAUGAGGGAUAAAAAAAAGGAGGAGCAAAAUAGAGGCAAGCCCAAUUGGGAGCAUCUAAAUGAAGAUUUACAUGUACUAAUCACUGUGGAAGAUGCUCAGAACAGAGCAGAAAUCAAAUUGAAGAGAGCAGUUGAAGAAGUGAAGAAAUUAUUGGUACCUGCAGCCGAAGGAGAAGACAGCCUGAAGAAGAUGCAGCUGAUGGAGCUUGCGAUUCUGAAUGGCACCUACAGAGAUGCCAACAUUAAAUCACCAGCCCUUGCCUUUUCUCUUGCAGCAACAGCCCAGGCUGCUCCAAGGAUCAUUACUGGGCCUGCACCGGUUCUCCCACCAGCUGCCCUGCGUACUCCAACGCCAGCUGGCCCUACCAUAAUGCCUUUGAUCAGACAAAUACAGACCGCUGUCAUGCCAAACGGAACUCCUCACCCAACUGCUGCAAUAGUUCCUCCAGGGCCCGAAGCUGGUUUAAUCUAUACACCCUAUGAGUACCCCUACACAUUGGCACCAGCUACAUCAAUCCUUGAGUAUCCUAUUGAACCUAGUGGUGUAUUAGAGUGGAUUGAAAUGCCAGUCAUGCCUGAUAUUUCAGCCCAUUGACUUGCUGGAUGAAGGACUAGAAUACAGCAGCUGUUAUAACACGACCAGUCAAUGUGGAACAAACUGUUUCUGUGCAACCCCUUUGUUUUACCAGACAAAAUUUGAAUACUUUUUUUCCUGAAUUGUAUACGACCUUGGUGCUGCAUGCAUGCUGUUGACUUUUAGGACUUUGAUCUCUUAAGGUUUUUUUUUUUUCCAGCAUUAAUAUUGAUUUAUAAGGAUAUGAAAAUCUUUACUGAACUGGAGGACACUAAGAUUUAAACUCGAAAAUUCAUUGUUCAAGUAAAGAAAGCCAUGAUGCUCUGUAUGUUAUCUGUGUGUGUGCAUGCACUCAGGUGCCCUUUGUUUCAUGAACAAAUACAUUUCAUUGUACAUGUUUUCUGUUUAUCUCUAAAUCAUUGUAUAAAGUAAUUGCAGGUCAGAAUUAUACCACAGAACUGUUUAUGAGAGGCUUGUCUCUGUUGCACAUUUCUUGAAGCAUUUUUAAAAUAACAUGUAACCUGUAACCUUGUUGUUUUAAGUUUUCUUUUCUAUUAAUACUCUGUCCUGUGGUCCCAUGCAUGCUCCUUUUCCCAGAACUCCUCUCUGCUGCACCCACAGCAUCUGUUCCCGAGGAGUUAUGACUCUUGACUUCCUGCAGGGCUGGGGCUCUUAGCUACCAGCUGCUGUUCCAGCACUUUCAGUGCAAGAUCUCCCUGAUUUUGCCACAUGGAAUUGUACUUGUAUAUGAUUACCUUAUCUAAAAUGAAUAAGGGGUGAUGGACCAGUUUACUGCUUAGAAAUAGCAAGAGGCACUGCAGUAAAACUUGUUUCUCAUUGUAAAGCUUCAUGUCUUUUGUUUGUUGAAAAAUUUUUACUUAUAAAAACUUAAUUGUUAGACUGGUAAAAUAAAGACCAAAAUAUGCAGAUUUCUAAUUGGCAUUCAUAAGGUGAAUAAUAAUAAGUGCCAAAUGAAAAAAUCUUACUAUGGUUAAUUUUAUUUCUUGCUUUGCCACCUAAGCAGUAAAACAUGAUAUUGACCACUUGGAGAACUCAGAAAAUUAUUUUAAAUUUCUAAGUUAUAAUAAAUUUGCACACAGAUAACAUGCAUGCUAUUUAUGUCACAUCUCACAUUAAAUUAUUUUAAAAUAAGCAGUGCCCUUCAAAACAGAUGCAGACAUGUGUGUUGGUAGUAGUGAGGAGAUUGGUAUUAGCAUCAAAUCUUCAUUGAUGACUAAUUUUUAAUUCCCUUCCUUUUAUCUUUAGGUAUGGCUUUCCCAACGAAAGGCUAAGAAUUCAAGAACGGUCUUAACUGAACCCUCAUCAGAUCUGAAUUUAACAAAUGCUUAGUCUCAGCAGCCUCCGGGGGAAAAAAGCUUAGCCUAGCAGUCAGUGACUUACUUGCACUUUUUGCACAUAGAUAUAAAGUAAAAUUAUGUUAUUAAUUUGGUUUAGUCUGUAAUAUUACACAGUAAUGGUAAUUUAUAAAGGAGUGUAUAGUAGUAUACUGACUGCUAAGUGUACUAUACUGUUUGCUUUACUAAUCACCUAAUUCAUUGCAGUUCAUACUUAUUGACUCAGAGUUUAAAACCACAAUCUGUAGGCUUUAAGAAUUGCUUUUAAACCUUUUUAAGUGAUAAACUCUUGAAGUGGUCUUAAGGUUAGCAAAUAAUUGUCAGUAUUAAACAUGGCAUUAUUUAAGUAGUCCUGCUGCGAGAAAGGCACUUCAGUGAAUAUGUGACUAGUAAAGCUUAAAUAUGUUUGGAUCUAAUAGAGUUCAUGAAAUACUGUAACUUGGGGAUUGUAAAUGAAUGGAUAAAAUAGGUUAAGGCCCAAGAUGUUUGAAAUGAAUGCAAUAUUAAUAGAUGCAUAUAUACAUGACAUAUUGUGGUUAAUUUUAAAACUACUGUGCCUUAACGUGUUUCUUAAACUUUUGUAGUAAAUGAACAUUUGAAAUCCAUUUUGAUAAACCUGCUGUUAAUGUUUUUUUCCCCCCUUGUGAAUGUUUUCUAACUUUGUCUUGGUAAUUGCAAUUUAACUAGGUGCGGUGGCUACUAAAGUUCGAAGGCACGAUAUGCGUGUCCAUCCUUACCAAAGGAUUGUGACCGCAGACCGAGCCGCCACCGGCAACUAACCUAUGACCUUCUGACCUCUGAACUCUUCACCCAAUGAUGACCUGACCAUGCCUGCCUGCUGAUCAGUUAACUGGUAAUCGCCUUUGCUUGCCUGUCGUCAGUGCAGCGAGCUGAGGCACUUGUCCGUUCGUCUUACCAUCUAACCAAACAAAAGACAAAGAAAUUGUUGUCCUCCAACUCAGCUUUUUUUUUUUUUUCCUGUUUGGGUGAAAGUGGUUCUAGAACCUGCACUGAAUAGUAGUAAAGCAAUAAGGCCCAAUUCAUCCCACAGCACUGAUCAUCUUUUAAUAUCCCACCCUAAGCGAACGGUAAGAAGGCCUCUCUUAAGAAGGGGAGACAGAUGGCCCUUAACUACUCAAUGACAGAGGCAGUUACUGUGAGAGACUUCUAGGAAUCUUUUUCUUCUCAUAGCGAAGUCAAAGCUCUCUCUGAAUGUACUGUGUGAUGAUGCAUCAUGCAUGAACCUUCGGUCAGGGAUAUCAUUGGUGAAGUGAUUUCGAAAAGUAUUCAAAAUUUGAUAUGCUGUUUAGUCACUACAGUGCCCUCAAAGGGCAGAAGUUGCAGCCUUUUUUAUAUUGCCUGCCAAAAUUUGAAGUAUUAGAAGAAAGUGUGCCAUGAGAGAAAAACGUAAGGAGUUUUGAAAAGUAAUGCAAAUAACAAAACUGCAACACUAUUUUUAAAAGAUAAAUAUCUAAGUUAAAAUUACCGAAUCUUUAUUUUACACCUUCUAAAAAAAUAUGAGAACAAGGUACAUGCAUUAUGUGUCACAUUACUGGGCAAACUGUUCAAGUAUUUUUUUUUAAACCUCCCUGUAUAGAAAAAAAUCAUUAAGGAUGUAAAAGCCAUGCUUGCCUAUUUGCUGUAUACAUGUAAUGAAAUUGUAGAUAAAGUGUAGUGCAUUGAAACAAAUGAACAAAAAGUAGAUACUUUUACUAUACAAGGGUGCUGGUGCAGAAAAAAAUAUAUAUAUUUUUGGAAAUGUAGCAUUUUAUACUUUCAAGUGUUAUAAAAAAAAAGAAAAAGAACAAAGAAACCCUUUAUUUCAUUAAAUGAUUUUUUCUGGUGGUUGUCAAGAAACAAAAGACCAAAAGAGCCUUUUUGUCUUUCUUUUUUAUUUUUUAAGUAUUGGAAUAAGUCUAAAGAAAAGAAAGUGCCUUAUUUUCCUUCAUGGUCAUUUAGUCAAGUGUCUCAUAAAGAUCAGCUCCUCCCUCAGAAUACAAGUUAAUGCAUGUUACUCAGUCGCCCAGUAUGUGAAAGAAGAUAUGAGGGAGACAAAUGAGUUGAUGGUUUGAAUUAUAUGAUUUUUGCCACGUUACCUUGAUGCAAAUUUGCCAAAUCUGAUACUGUGAAAAGAUUUGAUAACUUUUCUAAUGCCUGACUAGUAAGUUUUAAAACAUCAUUCUUUAAAAAAAUAAUUUAAUAUUUUUGGUUAUUCCAAUCUUCAGUGUUAACCCAAACGAUUCUGAGAUAAAAAUUAUGUGUCAUCUGAACUUCAGUUUACAGACAAAUUAGAACUUUGUUUUAUUUGGAGAAGGGGGAUGCAUUCAUUUGGUUUUGAUUUUUAUUUUGUUUUUAAUUAAUUGGAGAUGAUAGGAUACCUAGCAAAUGUUUUCAGAAAAGUGAAUCUUUGUGAUUUUCAUUCUGGAAAACAAUGUUUUAAAUCACCCAAAUUUAAUCACAUGUUUUUAUAUCAUACCAGAUAACUGGUGUAGUGUAUCCUUUUACUGUUUCAGUAACCUUUGCCUCCCCCACCCCUUAACUUUAAAAGAAUGUGAAAAACUAGCAUCAUAGUGCAUAUAAAUACUCAACCACAUUUCACCUUAAGCUUCUAAUUUCUCUAGAAGUUGAAACAGUUAGUUAUGUAGUUGAAGCAAUUUGUGUGCAAAGCCUACAUCUAAACACUUGAGUGAAUAAUCAUUAACUGCUCAGUACCAGACGUGGCAAAUCUCAAGUGACAGUGGACUCCCCCCGCCCCCCAGCUUAUCAACUCAUCCCCUCUUCCACACCUUCCCAGCAUCACAGUCAGAGGUCAGCAGGAAGCUGAGUCAUGACCUUCUUGGUGACCUCCCCUGCCAUCUUGUCUCACUUGGAAACCGUUGUCAGUUUAUUUACUAUGCAAUAGACAUUCAUUGUUUUGUAUCCAGCUAGCUUUGGUUUAAUAUGCCACUGCUUUGUCUUUGUGUUACACAUACAGUUUUGAUUUAUUUACAAUAUAUGCUGUGCCAUUUUGAUUUUUAUAUUGUUUGGUUGCUUUAAUAAAUUUGCGACACUCAAACACUUGAGGUGAUAGUUGUUAAAAAAAAUACCAGUAUUUGAUCCAGUUUCAUCUCAACUGUGUUAUACCUGGACAUUUUAGAUGUUUAUCAAAGGUCUUUUAUGGGGAAGAAAGUAAAUGUAUGAAAUAAUAAAUGUGUGACAUUUAUGGGUAAUGUUGGCUCUGAACAAACUUUUGAAAACUUGGUUGACAAAAUUUUGGAUCAACUGAAAAAAGCAUGACUUUUGAAAUCUCUGAAUGCCUUGGUUCUCAGUAUUAUCAUUCUUUAUUGAAUUUAUUUCUUAUUAAAAUACGUAGUUUUUAAGACUUUUUUUCUGACAGUAUUAUGUAAUUUUUUAGUGUGGGUAGAUGGGAGUGUCGCUUGUAUGUUAUCGUACAGCUGACAUGUAUUUUUGUCUAUUCUUUAUUAUCUUAGUUUCAUGCUGUGUAUGUACCAUAACCAACCUAUUGCCUAUGAGAAACAUGUAAGAUAAUGUAUUUACAGCCAUUGUUACAAGUUUAUAAUGUAUUUUUCUAUCUUGUUUUAUAUGUAUGUUAUAUAACAUUCAAAAAGAAUUUUUUUCUUGAUUGAGAAAAGGAUACAAAAUGCAAAAUCCACAAUUUUGAUAACUGAAAAUUGCCAAUUGUUUUGCAGUACUUUAUUAUAUUGGGUGUCUUGUCUUUUUUGGGCUUUUAGUUAGCUAAUGAAUGAAUACAUUAGACACUUUUGGAUUUUAGUUGGGAUUUUACAUAGCUUGCAUUUUAAUUCUUUGGUUCUUUGCUGUUUCUAUUAACCCAUAGCAUUAUUUUAAUAAAUGUUAUAAUACCAACCUACUAACUCUGGACUAUGUCUGUUUAUUAACCUUUAUAUGUUUAAUUAAAAUAAACAAAUAAAGACAAAAGAAUGUAAAGUCUUGAGUUACUGGACUAACCCUGAAGAACGUGACCACAGAUAACAUGGCGUGACUUGUUUUUAUGUUGUUUGUCAGCUGACAGUUUUGCACACUACUGUUAAAAUAGCUUUGGUUAUUCUGGUCUUGUACCUUGUGGGGGGGUGGGGGUAGGUGCAGUAGAGAUGGGAACAAAGAGGCCUUUGUUGGAGGCAUUCUUCUCCUCUUGCCACUUGCCUUUCAGCAUCUGCAUUACUAAUUCCACACCUUAUUUUUCCUUCUCCAAAAUAAUCACUGUCUGCUCACAGCAUCAAGAGUAAAAAGAUAUAUUGUAAUGGUAUAUACCUGGAGAAACCAGUUUGAUUCUUUGUUGAACCAUUUCUUUUAAUUUCUGUAAAUAAGUAAUUUUAUGGUCACACUGUAAAGCAGAGAAACUGUUGAUAUUUUACCUUUAUUUAGAUUUUUAUUUUAACUUGACCUUUUUCCUUUGGAAAGCAUUGAACUUGUUUAGCUAACUGCUCCUGUUAGGGGAGCUUAACUUGGGUAAAGCCAAAGGCCCACUGACUGUUUCUCAUGGUGGCCUGAAGCCCCACUGCUUUCCAAUGAGGAAAAGAACCCUCAGCACAUUACUGAGUUUUCCUCAGGUAUUUUUUUCCCUGUCACCUACUUUACAAAUACAGUCAGACUAAAACGUUAAACAAGAAGUUUAAGGGGGAAGAACACUGGGAUUUGAAAAGUUGUAUAUGAUCAAUUUCUUGCUUGCAAAUCAAUUUAAGAUUUCCUAAAUAUCUUCAUGCUUUUCUUGGCUGGAACUUGGGUAAAUUAACCUGUAAUUAUGAAUUACUUAGUUUAACUCAAGGUGCAUUUUUAUUUCACAGAUUGAUACUUCCUUCUUUCUGUGAAACAGUUCUCCUAGAUAACAAAAUCCUCAGGAUGAAUUUUUGCAUUUGUACAUAGCAAUGUAUCUUUGUAAAUGACGUUUUAUUUAUUUAGAGUUGUAGAAUUUGGGGCCGAAAUGAGUGACAUGUAAUAGAAGAAAAAACUGUACCAAUACGCCCUUAACCAAUCAGACUGUCAAGGUAUUCUCAUUCAUAAAUAUAUAUACACACGUACAUAUACAUAAUACACAGAGUAGUGAUAGCUGAUUCGAGUGAUAACAGCGAAUCACCAUUGAGAUGGUCACUUGGAUCAUGUAAACAAACUGGGUCAUUUCUCUGAUGGGAGCAGUGGGGCAGUGUACUGUUGUUAGGUAGACAGGUCUUUAACAUGCUACUAUUUGUAAAAGUUUCUGUUGCCCUAACAGUUCAUGUAGUAGUCUGUGAAAAUUCGAAGCUGUCUGUCAAGCUGCUAAUGUACAAGUUGUCAUGGUACCAUGUCACUUAAAUUGAUGAAUUUCUGUGCAAUUUACUAUUCUCUAAAGCCUAUGAAUGCAGCCUCAUCUCAUUUUCAGUUAAGGGUACUUUAUGUAUAAUUAAGUCAUUGCUACCUUUUAUGUAGGAAAUGUAAAGUUUUAAAAGGCGAAAAUAACAUUACAGAUUUCAUUUUUAUACAGGUUACAAUAUUAUUAAACUACCAAAUUCCUAGAACGGUAAAAUUCUAGAGUCAGUUGAUUGAUUGAAACUAUUUGACAAAACAAUUGAAAGCUGAGCUUUCAGUCAAGAAGUUGGUGAAAUUAAUGUACUUAAACAUUUUUUUCCUUUCGGCAAAAUGUCAGGGAAGACUUAACGUGAGAGUAGUUACUCCCGUACGCCCCAGUGCGGUGGCUCCACGUGUAAGAGGUUGUUAAGGCACCCUGCCCAUAAAACCAGGAUGUGUAUACGUACACACAAUUGGUGUCUGGUUACGGUUUUCUCAACACUAGAUAAGGUUCUGAAUUUGUUAGUGUGCCAAAAGCGAAUGAUAGGUUUAAAUGAAAUUGCUCACUACCAAACCAAGACUCUAAUAAAUAUAUAUACAUGUUUAUAUAUAUAUAUAUACAUAUAUAUAUAUGUCAUAGCACUUUCACAUGUGACAGCCUAAGGUUUCUUUAGUUUUGGGGUGGAGUGGGAGUGGUUUUGCAUGUUUGACCAGGGUGGGAUGCCUGUCUUUAUUCCUUGAUAAGAAGUAGCUGUUAACAGCAUUUCAAACAAAUUAUUUUUGGUAGAAUAGGACUUACUGCCAAAUGGUAAUUUAUUUAGCAAAAAUUAUUCUCCAACUUUUCGAAUUCGCAAAUUUCCUAAGUGCCUAGAGUAGUUUUUUACAUUGUCACGAAUCCCUUAAUACCUUUAUUUGAAGUGGAAAAAAUAUGGACAAUAUUUUAGAAAUAUGUGCUACACAUCUAAUUUUAUCUGUAGUUUCUUUUAAAUGAUCUAAAUUGAGAUGCCUUUGAUACGAAGAGAUUUACCAACAUUAUAUGCACUCGUGCCUUCAAUGCGGAAUCAAACUGGUUAACCUCGGCACAGUCCUCUCCUUUCUGUGUUUCUGCUGCACUAAUUGCCAGGGGGUGGGAGAGAAGGCAGAUGAAUGAAUUCAUAGUAGAAGGAGGCGAUAGGUGCACCCAAAGAGCAGCGGCAAUAUUGAUUCCACAUUACAAUUUUGUUGCCCCUUGGCAAAAGACAUCACAUUGUGGGAAGAUCUCAGCUUCCAGGGUAAAAGUUAAUUUAUAACUUAAAGUGCUAUUAAGUUUUUAUUACCAAAUAUAUAUUUUAUGGUUUAUAGUGGUAUGUAUGAAACAUUUAAAAUUUUACUGUGGAAAUUGUGUAUAUAUAUAUAUCUCUAUAGAAGUCGAAAUAGGUGUGCGCAGAUCACAUGUGAACGGAGAACUGCAUAUGACUGUACAUGAAAUGCAAUAAACCAACUGGAAAAAGUG